rfam:Ictidomys tridecemlineatus contig021173, whole genome shotgun sequence.
GGGGAUGUGGCUCAAUGGUAGAGUAUUUGCCCAGCAUGCAUGAGGCCCUGGUUUCAAUCCUCAGCACCACUA